rnacentral:rRNA from 1 species
UACGUAGGCAGCAAGCGUUGUUCGGAAUUACUGGGCGUAAAGAGUGCGUAGGUGGUGCUCCAAGUCUGUUGUGAAAUCUCCCGGCUUAACUGGGAGGGUGCGGCGGAAACUGGUGUGCUUGAGGGUGGGAGAGGUAAGCGGAAUUCCUGGUGUAGCGGUGAAAUGCGUAGAUAUCAGGAGGAACACCUGUGGUGUAGACAGCUUACUGGACCACUUCUGACGCUGAGACACGAAAGCGUGGGUAGCAAACAGG